rnacentral:rRNA from 1 species
UACGUAGGGUGCAAGCGUUGUCCGGAAUUAUUGGGCGUAAAGAGCUCGUAGGCGGUUUGUCGCGUCUGCUGUGAAAACUCGGGGCUUAACUCCGGGCCUGCAGUGGGUACGGGCAGACUAGAGUGCGGUAGGGGAGACUGGAAUUCCUGGUGUAGCGGUGAAAUGCGCAGAUAUCAGGAGGAACACCGAUGGCGAAGGCAGGUCUCUGGGCAUUAACUGACGCUGAGGCGCGAAAGCGUGGGGAGCAAACAGG